UGUCCAGUAACUCCUAUCCCUACCUCCCCGUGGUGCCGCCUGGGGUACGAGUAAACCGUAGGGAAAAUCAAGUAACCAAACACUUGCUGGGACCUUGGUCGUAUGCUGACAGGGAAGG
rnacentral:ribozyme from 1 species